rnacentral:rRNA from 1 species
GACGAACGCUGGCGGCGUGCUUAACACAUGCAAGUCGAGCGGUAAGGCCCUUUCGGGGGUACACGAGCGGCGAACGGGUGAGUAACACGUGGGUGACCUGCCCUCAGCUCUGGGAUAAGCCUGGGAAACCGGGUCUAAUACCGGAUAUGACUCCAUGACGCAUGUUGUGGGGUGGAAAGCCUUGUGCGGCUGAGGAUGGGCCCGCGGCCUAUCAGCUUGUUGGUGGGGUGAUGGCCUACCAAGGCGACGACGGGUAGCCGGCCUGAGAGGGCGACCGGCCACACUGGGACUGAGACACGGCCCAGACUCCUACGGGAGGCAGCAGUGGGGAAUCUUGCGCAAUGGGCGAAAGCCUGACGCAGCGACGCCGCGUGGGUGAUGAAGGCCUGGU